UCAUGGCAACGGAAAUCUUGCAAC
rnacentral:piRNA from 1 species